rnacentral:lncRNA from 1 species
AUUUGUGACUAAGACACUGUUUUGAAGCCCCUCAUCCAUUGAGCCUAGUGUUCUGCUGUUCCUUAUCGGGUGAGAGGGUGGUGGUAUCUUUUUGUUUAAAAGGAAAAAACCCACCCAUAUUGCUGCUUUUACACAGCUUCCUUCAUUGCCUUACCCACUCAUUCCUGAUGGCCCGUAUUUGGGAGGUGGAUGGAGGCAGUGCUUCUGUCUCCAUGCGUUACCGCAGAAGUGGUUUUAUGGUGGUUGGGUCUCCUUCCUAUGCAGUGGUAGCAUAUGGCUGAGACCAGAGCUUCUGUCCUCAUCCACACACAAGCCAGAUCACCUUCUUGGUCCCAGACUGAUGGCCUCUACUCCUCAACUUUUACUGCAGACUCUAUCUGCAAUGGAAGCUGCCCAUCUAGGCUCCGAAUAUGGCCCUUCCCGGUGUUAUGGUACAGUUACCAACAUUGCCUUGGGCCUAACGUAAUUGUCUGAUUUCCAUCCUCCUCAGCUGUACCCACUGUACCACAGCGUACAUUUCAUGCAUCUGAGCAGUGACAUCAAUGGAAAACUAAACACAGGUCACGUGCACAAACUUCACAAGCUGUCAUAACGGACGCGUUUAUAAUUCAAAUGUUGUAGAUUUACAAUACCUAUUUAUUUGUACCAAUUUAUUUGUAAAUCUUGUGAUUGUUUUUAAAAGGUUUUGUUCAUUUCUAUUAUUCUAUUUAGAUAAAUGAUUUUCUGUUCACCCUUUUAGCAGCUGUGUGUUCCCUCUUUCCUCUGUGUAAUACCACCUACCUUGUUUCCUUCACACUUGGUCCCCUGCCCAAUUACAUGGCUUUACUGGUGGGAAAGUUUGGGACUGAAUCACAUCGGGGCCUCUCCUUAGGACAGACGUUGCAAAGUCUCUUGUUUAUGGAAAUGCAAGUUGAGUGUUACAGCCUGGUACAGCUGGUUCUGGGGAUGUUCUUCCAAGGAAUGAGGUUUGCCCUCAUCAGCUAGGAAACAACAGAAGUCUCCACUGCACUUGCCCAGGCACACAGCAGCGAGGCAGAGGGAAAUAAGGUUUCCCUUGGCAGUAGUACGCUCCUCUGCACAGGCUUCUUUUCAGUUGGCUCCUGUAGAUGAGCCUGGCUAUUUAAGUCCUCCAAACCAGUGAGGAACAUCGGCUCUCGGGUGAGUCACCCUGAAGUGACUCAAGGCCACAGGUAUGGGAGGCACAUACCUAAGAAUGACCCUCAUCUUUUGUUGUCACUUGGGUGACAAGACCCACAUCUUCUGGCUGAGUUUUAAGGUGCUUGGUGAAUCCACGAAUUGGCUGCCCCUUCCUGAAAUCCUUUAAUUUUACUUCACAUGCCAAACAAGCCCAUGCUGAGAAUCAGGCUUCGAGGGGCUCAAGAGUCCCUACUGCAUUUGACCGUGAUGUCUGUCUUCACCCUUGUCCUGUGUGGGAACGUUUCAGUGGCAUACUGACAAGACUGACUUUAAACCCUGUCUGUCUGAUCAUUUCCUGGAAGGAGAAUGAAUGCACCCAUACCCUGGUCAAGUGUCUAGCUCUUUCCCUAGACACAGGGCACAGAUCAUCAGGGCAGGAAGAUGGCCAUGGCAGUGCCCUCUGGACUAACCACUGUGGCUGGAUCUUUGUCUAGACGGUUCUUGAGAUGGCAGAGCGGGUUGGGGAUUUAGCUCAGUGGCAGAGCGCUUGCCCAGGAAGCACAAGGCCCUGGGUUCGGUCCCCAGCUCCAAAAAAAAAAAAAAAA